UUAAAAUGGUGCAAAAUACGUCCCCGGCAAAAUGACACUAUAACCGACGCUUAUCGCGCCGGUUAUUUUUUUUG
rnacentral:sRNA from 1 species